rnacentral:pre_miRNA from 1 species
AUAUUACUCCCUCCGUCCAGAAAUACUUGUCGGAGAAAUGAAUAAAAAUGGAUGUAUCUAGAACUAAAAUACAUCUAGAUACAUCCAUUUCUCCGACAAGUAUUUCCGGACGGAGGGAGUACUUA